GGCGGGGCUCACACGGUCUAUCCUUCUGGGUCUACCUGCGUCAGGAAGACUUCUAAUUUAUGAAAAGUUAUUGACGCCAUCGACUUCACUCGAACUGAUAAAAAUAUUGAAGCCCCCACUGGCACCUGACCUCUGACCUUUCAGUAGAACAGACGGUGAUCAAGCUGAUCUACUAUUAUCCAUGCAUAUUUGUGAGAAGCAGGAGAGCUGAAGUCAGCCAAAAGACAACAUCAAUCAGUUCAAGAGGCACAAUGUGGGCCUUGUGUUGGAGGUUCCACCCUGCUCCAUGGCCCGAAGGCCACAUCAAAGCACUGAGUGACAAGUCUGUUAGGAGACUAUUGUUGAUAUUUUUCUAAAAAGAGUAACAUUUCUGAUCAUUUCAACUUACCUCAUUUUCRCUUCUUUUCUUGYAUUUGGCUUUAMAUUUAGAUCAUGUGUUUGCAGCUGUGUGAAAACAUUGUUUCAGCAGUGAUUUUCAUAAUUUUUACAUUUUAAAACAAACAUUGGAGUAUGCAUAAAWAAUUCAGGGGCCUAGUAUUUUCUAAAUGAGUGCAUAUUGACUAAAAUAAUCAUACAAUGAGGAAUGUAGUAGUUUUGGUCAAACCUUGAAAAUAACAUUGUGCACAAUUUCCUGUAAUAUGAUGUCACUCUCAAAGUUGUGAAUGAUUCUCAGCUAUCACUUUAUCAAAUUUGAGCUGUAUAGGUUUAUAAUUCACUGAGUUAUAGCCAUUUAUAUUUUGGCUGACAUCAGUUAGCUGUGGUGGCCAUCUUGAUGUGGGCUGACUCCAAAACAAAAUCACGUUUAGAUGUGCRGCCAGUGACUAUUGUCUGGAAGUUUCAUUUAAUUUUCUCCAGCGGUUUAUGGGAUGUUUUGCUAACAGACGAACUGGGUUGAUGUCAACAACCGGGGUAUUAGAAAAAAAUCCAGCAAACAAACAGAAAAGAGUGAUUUUAGGUUAUGAAAUCAUGUGAAGCAACCAAAGUUUGUACAUGCACAAGCUGAACAGACGCACAGCCUCACUAGUUGGAAUGCAGCCGUACACACACACACAC